rnacentral:rRNA from 1 species
UGGGGGAUAUUGCACAAUGGGGGAAACCCGUGAUGCAGCGACGCCGCGUGAACGAAGAAGUAUUUCGGUAUGUAAAGUUCUAUCAGCAGGGGAGAUAAUGACGGUACCUGACUAAGAAGCACCGGCUAAAUACGUGCCAGCAGCCGCGGUAAUACGUAUGGUGCAAGCGUUAUCCGGAUUUACUGGGUGUAAAGGGAGCGCAGGCGGUGCGGCAAGUCUGAUGUGAAAGCCCGGGGCUCAACCCCGGGACUGCAUUUGAAACUGUGAAGCUGGAGUGUCGGAGAGGUAAGUGGAAUUCCUAGUGUAGCGGUGAAAUUGCGUAGAUAUUAGGAAGAACACCAGUGGCGAAGGCGGCUUACUGGACGAUUACUGACGCUGAGGCUCGAAAGCGU